rnacentral:ncRNA from 1 species
GUCUUCAGGGCAGGGUGAAAUUCCCGACCGGCGGUACAGUCCGCGAGCUGCGAAAGCGGCCGAUUCGGUGCAACUCCGAAACCGACAGUAAAGGCAAGAGCGCGUCACGCGGUGUUGCCUGAAGUCUGGAUGGAAGAAGGC